UGGGUCUCGGUAUAAAUCACACACAGUAUUUUAAUUGUGAAACGGUGUAACAGGAAGUUGUAGCUCUAUGAUAGUUAGCCUGACAACGGAGACCACCGGGGUUUUCGAGGACUGUCCCUCCCAGGAAGACAUCAGCCGACGCCGCCUCCUGCCCCUCCUGCCUGGUCGCUGAGGGCCGUCCUGGACUACACAGUCCACUGUCUUCUUCUCGUAUUGGACGCUGCAUCAUCACUCAGUCUUUCUGUGUUCAGCGAGCGGUUUAGCAGGUUUUAGCCUCACCAUCAUCUGGUACCCGUCGGUUUAACUUAGCUAGGUUGAAACCGCUAAUGUUUUUAUCUUAUUCACUUGCCCGAGGUCUGCUUAAAUUCCUUUGCUCGUUUUGGCGUUGCAUAUAGAAAGAAUGCGGGGGAAAAAACACGUUUAUGUUCAGACAACGUGAGUGCAUGCCAUGAGCGACGAGAGACGCUAGUCGUCUGAAACAAGCAGCAGCAGCAGCAGCAGCAGCAGCGAGCCGGGCUCAGAAAGGACCGGUCGUUGAAAGCAACGCUGAUUUACCAAGAAAUGCAACUGGCACAUUAAGGUUUACCGCAGGAACAGGAAGCCAGCCUACAGGCGGGGCAUGGCAGCCAAAUCCCUGAAUGACACACAAACACACACAUACACAUACACACACAUAUCAUGAAUUA